GGUUCAAUGGUGUAGUGGUUAUCGCAUCUGUCUUACAUUCGGGUUUUGGUACUUUGUUGUACACAGAAGGUCUCUGGUUCGAUAUCGGGUUGAACCA